UGAGUAACCUGCCCUUAACUCUGGGAUAAGCCUGGGAAACUGGGUCUAAUACCGGAUAUGACUCCUCAUCGCAUGGUAGGGGGUGGAAAGCUUUAUUGUGGUUUUGGAUGGACUCGCGGCCUAUCAGCUUGUUGGUGAGGUAAUGGCUUACCAAGGCGACGACGGGUAGCCGGCCUGAGAGGGUGUCCGGCCACACUGGGACUGAGAUACGGCCCAGACUCCUACGGGAGGCAG
rnacentral:rRNA from 1 species